ACCUCAGUGUCAGUAUCAGUCCAGGUGGUCGCCUUCGCCACUGGUGUUCCUUCCUAUAUCUACGCAUUUCACCGCUACACAGGAAAUUCCACCACCCUCUACCAUACUCUAGCUUGUCAGUUUUGAAUGCAGUUCCCAGGUUGAGCCCGGGGAUUUCACAUCCAACUUAACAAACCACCUACGCGCGCUUUACGCCCAGUAAUUCCGAUUAACGCUUGCACCCUCUGUAUUACCGCGGCUGCUGGCACAGAGUUAGCCGGUGCUUAUUCUGUCGGUAACGUCAAAACAGCAAAGUAUUAAUUUACUGCCCUUCCUCCCAACUUAAAGUGCUUUACAAUCCGAAGACCUUCUUCACACACGCGGCAUGGCUGGAUCAGGCUUUCGCCCAUUGUCCAAUAUUCCCCACUGCUGCCUCCCGUAGGAGUCUGGACCGUGUCUCAGUUCCAGUGUGACUGAUCAUCCUCUCAGACCAGUUACGGAUCGUCGCCUUGGUGAGCCAUUACCUCACCAACUAGCUAAUCCGACCUAGGCUCAUCUGAUAGCGCAAGGCCCGAAGGUCCCCUGCUUUCUCCCGUAGGACGUAUGCGGUAUUAGCGUCCCUUUCGAGACGUUGUCCCCCACUACCAGGCAGAUUCCUAGGCAUUACUCACCCGUCCGCCGCUGAAUC
rnacentral:rRNA from 1 species